UGUCGGUGCCGCUGGUGGGGUAACAAAUACCCCAGAGGUGCCAUGGCCAAAGCACCUGAGGUGGGCUCCAAUGCCACGUCCACACCAGCUCAUGCAGCUGGGCAAGGAGCAGCCUGCUGGGCAAGAAUAAGCACCUUCAGAGCUGGUCAGCUGCUUCUCGUGUUGUUCAGAGCAAGUCUGGAGCCUCAGCAACCAAAUUCUGCCUCAGAUUCCCUGCCCAUGACUUCUGUGAUGUGGCUAGGGCAGCAUGGACCCAGCCAGAGAGCAAGCCUCUUCACGAUACCUGGACAUCCUUCUGCUUGCCAUGUGCUACUGGCACACAAUUGGACUUGAAGCACUUUAGGACAGCUCCAAUGAGGAGAAAUCCCCACCAGAGGACUAGCUGGUAACCCUGUUUCUGCUGAAACACAAAGCGAGGGGCCUACCACAGCUCCAUCCCACCGGUACUGCUCUGCCUACCUCACCUGUGAGUCCUGAUAUGCAUUUCCUCCUGUUCUCAAAUGCAGAAGGUUCGGGAGAGUUUUCUCCAAGGCCACAGCUAUCAUCGGUCCUGUAAAUGAUUGCAGUGGCACCAGCUCCUGUCCUUGACUGUGCUUCUUUGUCAAGCGAGGCAGUGAUAGCAAUCACUCCGGUGUUUAGCAAACCCACAGAUCACUAUUGCCAAUCUUUGUAUAAACAAGAACUAAUUAAUCUUCACCACAUCUCUCUAAAGAAGGAUGCCAGCAGGAACUGAGACUGCUCUUUGAUUCAGCGAUAAUGAGUGAACAUUGCACCAACGACAUUUACAUUUUGCCAGUGGUAUGAAAAAACACAAGACUAUUCUUCUGAGUUCAGAUUUAGGCCCCCAAAUGCAUGCUGAUUUCCUGAAGUUGGAGCACUCCGAGACUGCUAUUGAUGUGAACGAACAUCUUGGCAAUUUAGCAAAAGAUGACAUCAGACAUGAAAGGUGAAAUCAAAUUUUCAUAAGUUUCUGCCACAUCUGCUUCAUUGGGAAGCUCUGGAAAUAUAUUAGGAGCACGGUUGCAGGCUUUGUGUGGAGGCAGUGUGCUGCCGCGUACCGUGUCAAACUAUUAUCUAGGCUUCC